GAUGAACGCUGGCGGCGUGCUUAACACAUGCAAGUCGAACGGAAAGGCUCCUGCUUGCAGGGGUACUCGAGUGGCGAACGGGUGAGUAACACGUGGGUGAUCUGCCCUGCACUUCGGGAUAAGCCUGGGAAACUGGGUCUAAUACCGGAUAGGACGAUGGUUUGGAUACCAUUGUGGAAGGUUUUUCGGUGUGGGAUGAGCUCGCGGCCUAUCAGCUUGUUGGUGGGGUAAUGGCCUACCAAGGCGUCGACGGGUAGCCGGCCUGAGAGGGUGUACGGCCACAUUGGGACUGAGACACGGCCCAG
rnacentral:rRNA from 1 species